UACGUAGGGGGCGAGCGUUGUCCGGAAUCAUUGGGCGUAAAGAGCUCGUAGGCGGUUCAGUAAGUCGGCUGUGAAAUUCCGAGGCUCAACCUCGGAACUGCAGUCGAUACUAUUGUGACUAGAGUCCGGUAGAGGAGAAUGGAAUUCCCGGUGUAGCGGUGAAAUGCGCAGAUAUCGGGAGGAACACCAGUAGCGAAGGCGGUUCUCUGGGCCGGUACUGACGCUGAAGAGCGAAAGCGUGGGGAGCAAACAGG
rnacentral:rRNA from 1 species